AACUACCGUAUAGUUUAGAAAGUGACGUCACUUCAAGACGACGUCUGUGUCUGUUGACGUCACGACAGUUUUACCUCGACGUUGAGCUCAUUUGGUUCGAAGUGAUCGUUGAUUCGAUUAUUCGACUGUGCUUCACCGUGUCUGGUCCAUUGAUGUCAAACACGUGGUCUGCGGCCUGAUUCAUCUCACGUCAACUACUUGUUGCCACCUCCACUUCCUGGCACGGCCGUGUGACAUGUGGCUGGGGCAA